AAAGGAAACAAAGAGGGAGAUGGUCUUUUGUUGGAAGACACUUGGGGAGUUAUGAUCUCGUGGGUCCUUGUUCCUGAAUUUCAGGUAUCUCAGGUGCACAGAAGGAUGAGUAAAGGUGGGGAGAUCCACCAGCUGUCUCCCCCUUCUCAUCAGUUCCACCUGCAGUGUCUGCAUCUACCCUCUUCCUGUCCUGUGGAUUGUUCUUUCCUAAGCUCUUGGAGCAGGUGGCUAUUUAUUACAGAGCCCUGGGAGUUUUUGUAAGGCUGUUUCUGUUACUGCUUUCACUGUGGUAGGCUUCUGCAACAGCGCAGAAAUAUACAGCGGAGUCACUGAAUUUCAAGGCUGAGAUGGUGAGCUUGAGAACUGGUUUCUGAAACACCACAGAGUAUCGUCCUUCCCUUGAGCUCCUGUUUGCUGAAUAUAGUUGUAUUAAGCGAAUCAUCUUUCCACUGGGUGGCUGUUGAUACCAGUACAUCCAAUAAUAAUCAAAACUGACUGUGAUUUUGCAGUCUAUGGUCACAGAUUUUCCUUCUUGUGCAUUCACUAUAUCUGUAGGUUGAUGCUGAGCGUUGCUAGAACCUGUAGAAAAUAGAAAAUAACAAAAAGAGAAGACUUAUCCAUUGACAGUACUCACAAGAAGGCCAUUAGCAAUAGCCAGAUUUUGACCCAGGAAAUGAAGUGGAGAAAAGCACAAUCCAGUUCUGUUUCAACUUCUUUCUUCAGCUGCCCCCUGCCCCAGCCUCUAGGGUUAGCUUCAUUACCAGGGUAGAUGACAAUCACAAUGGCACACAGGAGAGCGGGCAGUCUAGGCUGCAUUUUUGAAGCUCUUCCCACUUGUGGAAUGGCUCUUGUUCUGCUGGUCCCCUGACUGGACACAGCAGUGUCUUUAGAGCUUUCUACCAUGUGACCCGAAAUGAGG
rnacentral:lncRNA from 1 species